rnacentral:rRNA from 1 species
AGAGAGAAGCUUGCUUCUCUUGAGAGCGGCGGACGGGUGAGUAAUGCCUAGGAAUCUGCCUAGUGGUGGGGGAUAACGUUCGGAAACGGACGCUAAUACCGCAUACGUCCUACGGGAGAAAGCGGGGGAUCUUCGGACCUCGCGCCAUUAGAUGAGCCUAGGUCGGAUUAGCUAGUUGGUGAGGUAAUGGCUCACCAAGGCGACGAUCCGUAACUGGUCUGAGAGGAUGAUCAGUCACACUGGAACUGAGACACGGUCCAGACUCCUACGGGAGGCAGCAGUGGGGAAUAUUGGACAAUGGGCGAAAGCCUGAUCCAGCCAUGCCGCGUGUGUGAAGAAGGUCUUCGGAUUGUAAAGCACUUUAAGUUGGGAGGAAGGGCAGUAACCUAAUACGUUAUUGUUUUGACGUUACCGACAGAAUAAGCACCGGCUAACUUCGUGCCAGCAGCCGCGGUAAUACGAAGGGUGCAAGCGUUAAUCGGAAUUACUGGGCGUAAAGCGCGCGUAGGUGGUUCAGUAAGUUGGAAGUGAAAUCCCCGGGCUCAACCUGGGAACUGCUUUCAAAACUGCUGAGCUAGUGUACGGUAGAGGGUGGUGGAAUUUCCUGUGUAGCGGUGAAAUGCGUAGAUAUAGGAAGGAACACCAGUGGCGAAGGCGGUCUCUUGGUCCAAUACUGACACUA